rnacentral:rRNA from 1 species
CUGCUAUCGAGGUUCGACUAAGCCAUGCGAGUCGAAUGUAGCAAUACAUGGCGAACUGCUCAGUAACACGUGGACAACCUACCCUUAGGUCAGGGAUAACCCCGGGAAACUGGGAAUAAUACCUGAUAUGGCGCGAAGGCUGGAAUGCAUCGCGCAAGAAAGCUCCGGUGCCUAAGGAUGGGUCUGCGGCCUAUCAGGGUAGUAGUGGGUGUAACGUACCUACUAGCCUACGACGGGUACGGGUUGUGAGAGCAAGAGCCCGGAGAUGGAUUCUGAGACACGAAUCCAGGCCCUACGGGGUGCAGCAGGCGCGAAAACUUUACAAUGCCGGCAACGGCGAUAAGGGAACC